rnacentral:rRNA from 1 species
GACGAACGCUGGCGGCGUGCUUAACACAUGCAAGUCGAACGGAAAGGCCCUGCUUUUGCUGGGUGCUCGUUUGGCGAACGGGUGAGUAACACGCGAGUAACCUGCCCUUGUCUUUGGGAUAACUUCUGGAAACUGGGGCGAAUAUCGGAUAGGAGCUACUGCACCAUGGGGGGGAUUGGUAAGUUUCGGCGGUGCGGGCUGGACUCGCGGCUUAUCCGCUAGUUUGUGGGGUAGUGGCUUACCAAGGCUUUGACGGGUAGCCGGCCUGAGAGGGGGAACGGGGACAUGGGGACUGCGAUACGGCGCAGACUGCAACGGGAGGCAGCAGUGGGGAAUAUUGCACAAUGGGCGGACGCCUGAUGCAGCAACGCCGCGUGCGGGAUGACGGGCUUUGGGGUGUAAACCGCUGUCGACUGAGACGAAGCGUUAUUGACGGUAAUGGGUAAGGAAGCACCGGCUAACUACGUG